AAGGAUAAAGUUAUCAUCUUCAGUUUUGAGAGACUUAAGAAAGUUUUUCAUUUUUUAAGAUUCGGGCCUAUAGCUCAGCUGGUUAGAGCACACGCCUGAUAAGCGUGAGGUCGGUGGUUCAAGUCCAUUUAGGCCCAC
rnacentral:tRNA from 1 species